GCUGGGCGCAGUGGUGCCUGCCUGUAGUCCCAGCUACUCGGGAGGCUGAGGUGGGAGGACCACUUGAGUCCAGGAGUUCUGGGCUGUAGUGUGCUAUGCUGAUCAGUCUGCACUAUGUUUGGCAUCAAUAUGGUGACCUCUUGGGAGCGGGGGCCCACCAGGUUGCCUAAGGAGGAGUGAGCCAGCCCAGGUCAGAAAUGGAGCAGGUCAAAACUCCUGUGCUGAUCAGUAGUGGGAUUUCACCUGUGAAUAGCCACCGCACUCCAGCCUGGGCAACAUAGCGUGACCCUGUCUCU
rnacentral:SRP_RNA from 1 species